rnacentral:sRNA from 1 species
UUGACAGCCCUAGAGACCGACGUAUAUAUUUAUGUCCAAGGAACAGGAAAAGCAAGGGCAGGAGCAGUGCAAGCUUCUGCCAUGGUGUCCCCUCAUCAUCUUCCCUCCUGUGUCUCAACUCUGUUUUGCAGUGAUUAUCUCCGAAGAGUAAAAUAGUGUCUGUCUCCACUCUCAUGCAGUCUUUGGUCUAU